rnacentral:tRNA from 1 species
GGAGAGAUGGCUGAGUCUGGCUGAAGGCGCUCGCCUGGAACGCGAGUAGGCGAUAACAUCGUCUCGUGGGUUCAAAUCCCACUUUCUCCG